rnacentral:rRNA from 1 species
CAGCAGCCACGGUAAUACGGAGGGUGCAAGCGUUAAUCGGAAUUACUGGGCGUAAAGCGCACGCAGGCGGUCUGACAAGUCAGAUGUGAAAUCCCCGGGCUUAACCUGGGAACUGCAUUUGAAACUGUCAGGCUGGAGUCUUGUAGAGGGGGGUGGAAUUCCAGGUGUAGCGGUGAAAUGCGUAGAGAUCUGGAGGAAUACCGGUGGCGAAGGCGGCCCCCUGGACAAAGACUGACGCUCAGGUGCGAAAGCGUGGGGAGCAAACAGGAUUAGAUACCCCUGUAGUCCCUGUCUCUUAUAC